rnacentral:rRNA from 1 species
GUCGAGCGGAACGAGUUAUCUGANCCUUCGGGGAACGAUANNGGCGUCGAGCGGCGGACGGGUGAGUAAUGCCUAGGAAAUUGCCUUGAUGUGGGGGAUAACCAUUGGAAACGAUGGCUAAUACCGCAUAAUGCCUACGGGCCAAAGAGGGGGACCUUCGGGCCUCUCGCGUCAAGAUAUGCCUAGGUGGGAUUAGCUAGUUGGUGAGGUAAUGGCUCACCAAGGCGACGAUCCCUAGCUGGUCUGAGAGGAUGAUCAGCCACACUGGAACUGAGACACGGUCCAGACUCCUACGGGAGGCAGCAGUGGGGAAUAUUGCACAAUGGGCGCAAGCCUGAUGCAGCCAUGCCGCGUGUAUGAAGAAGGCCUUCGGGUUGUAAAGUACUUUCAGUCGUGAGGAAGGNUCNUGCGUUAAUAGCGUAUGNNUUUGACGUUAGCGACAGAAGAAGCACCGGCUAACUCCGUGCCAGCAGCCGCGGUAAUACGGAGGGUGCGAGCGUUAAUCGGAAUUACUGGGCGUANAGCGCAUGCAGGUGGUUUGUUAAGUCAGAUGUGAAAGCCCGGGGCUCAACCUCGGAACUGCNUUUGAAACUGGCAAACUAGAGUACUGUAGAGGGGGGUAGANNUUCNGGUGUAGCGGUGAANNGCGUAGAGAUCUGAAGGAAUAC